rnacentral:tRNA from 1 species
GGGUCUAUCGCCAAGGCGGUAAGGCAACGGGUUUUGAUCCCGUCAUCCCCUGGUUCGAAUCCAGGUAGACCUA